rnacentral:rRNA from 1 species
AUUGAACGCUGGCGGCAGGCCUAACACAUGCAAGUCGAACGAGUGGCGGACGGGUGAGUAAUGUGUGGAAAACUGCCAGAUGGAGGGGGAAAACUACUGGAAACGGUAGCUAAUACCGCAAACCAUCAGAUGCGCCCAGAUGGGAUGAGCUAGUUGGUGGGGUAACGGCUCACCAAGGCGACGAUCCCUAGCUGGUCUGAGAGGAGGACCAGCAAAACGGGGACUGAGACACGGUCCAGACUCCUACGGGAGGCAGCAGGGGGGAAUAUUGCACAAUGGGCGCAAGCCUGAUGGAGCCAUGCCGCGUGUAUGAAGAAGGCCUUCGGGUUGUAAAGUACUUUCAGUGGGGAGGCGUUACCCGCAGAAGAAGCACCGGCUAACUCCGUGCCAGCCGCCGCGGUAAUUC